rnacentral:rRNA from 1 species
UGGGGAAUAUUGCACAAUGGGCGAAAGCCUGAUGCAGCGACGCCGCGUGAGGGAUGACGGCCUUCGGGUUGUAAACCUCUUUCAGUAGGGACGAAGCGCAAGUGACGGUACCUGCAGAAGAAGCACCGGCUAACUACGUGCCAGCAGCCGCGGUAAUACGUAGGGUGCGAGCGUUGUCCGGAAUUACUGGGCGUAAAGAGCUCGUAGGCGGUUUGUCACGUCGUCUGUGAAAUCCUAGGGCUUAACCCUGGACGUGCAGGCGAUACGGGUUGACUUGAGUACUACAGGGGAGACUGGAAUUUCUGGUGUAGCGGUGGAAUGCACAGAUAUCAGGAAGAACACCGAUGGCGAAGGCAGGUCUCUGGGUAGUAACUGACGCUGAGGAGCGAAAGCAUGGGUAGCGAACAGG